rnacentral:rRNA from 1 species
UGCUGACGAGUGGCGGACGGGUGAGUAAUGCUUGGGGAUCUGUCUUAUGGAGGGGGAUAACGACGGGAAACUGUCGCUAAUACCGCGUAGAGUCGGGAGACGAAAGUGCGGGACCUUAGGGCCGCAUGCCAUGAGAUGAGCCCAAGUGUGAUUAGGUAGUUGGUGGGGUAAAGGCCUACCAAGCCGACGAUCGCUAGCUGGUCUGAGAGGAUGGCCAGCCACACCGGGACUGAGACACGGCCCGGACUCCUACGGGAGGCAGCAGUGGGGAAUAUUGCGCAAUGGGGGCAACCCUGAACGCAGCCAUGCCGCGUGAAUGAAGAAGGCCUUCGGGUUGUAAAGUUCUUUCGGUGAUGAGGAAGGUUGGUGUGUUAAUAGCAUGCCAACUUGACGUUAAAUACAGAAGAAGCACCGGCUAACUCCGUGCCAGCAGCCGCGGUAAUACGGGGGGUGCUAGCGUUAAUCGGAAUAACUGGGCGUAAAGGGCACGUAGGCGGACCUUUAAGUGAGGUGUGAAAUCCCCGGGCUUAACCUGGGAAUUGCAUUUCAUACUGGGGGUCUGGAGUACUUUAGGGAGGGGUAGAAUUCCACGUGUAGCGGUGAAAUGCGUAGAGAUGUGGAGGAAUACCGAAGGCGAAGGCAGCCCCUUGGGGAUGUACUGACGCUGAUGUGCGAAAGCGUGGGGAGCAAACAGGAUUAGAUACCCUGGUAGUCCACGCUGUAAACGGUGUCGAUUUGGGGAUUGGGGUUUAGCCCUGGUGCCCGAAGCUAACGUGAUAAAUCGACCGCCUGGGGAGUACGGCCGCAAGGUUAAAACUCAAAUGAAUUGACGGGGGCCCGCACAAGCGGUGGAGCAUGUGGUUUAAUUCGAUGCAACGCGAAGAACCUUACCUACUCUUGACAUCCGAAGAAGAACUCAGAGAUGGGUUUGUGCCUUAGGGAGCUUUGAGACAGGUGCUGCAUGGCUGUCGUCAGCUCGUGUUGUGAAAUGUUGGGUUAAGUCCCGCAACGAGCGCAACCCUUAUCCUUUGUUGCCAGCGAUUAGGUCGGGAACUCAAAGGAGACUGCCGGUGAUAAACCGGAGGAAGGUGGGGAUGACGUCAAGUCAUCAUGGCCCUUACGAGUAGGGCUACACACGUGCUACAAUGGCGUAUACAGAGGGUAACCAACCAGCGAUGGGGAGUGAAUCUCAGAAAGUGCGUCUAAGUCGGAU